rnacentral:sRNA from 1 species
GCCUGUUUAACCAUUAUUCUUCAUGACCUUGGAUUUUAUUUAUGAUUAUAUAAUGGGAGGUAAUAUUUAGGGAAGUCAUAGAUCUUAGUGUAAAUUUGGAUCUGAGAACUUUUCUGGAAUAACUUGGUAUGUCAUCUACUCUGUAGAUGAAGAAUCAUGUAUAAAUUUUUUUUUCAGUAAGUCAUUCUACAGUUUUAUUCUGGCUAAAUUGUUGCUUUUUUCAUCUCUUUAGCACAUUAAAGAGGAAAAAGAAGAAUCUGAAUUUCUACCCUCAUCUGGAGGAACAUUUAAUAUCUCUGUCAGUGGGGACAUUGAUGGUUUAAUUACUCAGGCUUUGCUGACGGGCAAUUUUGAGAGUGCUGUUGACCUUUGUUUACAUGAUAACCGCAUGGCUGAUGCCAUUAUAUUGGCCAUAGCAGGUGGACAAGAACUCUUGGCUCGAACCCAGAAAAAAUACUUUGCAAAAUCCCAAAGCAAAAUUACCAGGCUCAUCACUGCAGUGGUGAUGAAGAACUGGAAAGAGAUUGUUGAGUCUUGUGAUCUUAAAAAUUGGAGAGAGGCUUUAGCUGCAGUAUUGACUUAUGCAAAGCCGGAUGAAUUUUCAGCCCUUU